AACGAACGCUGGCGGCAGGCCUAACACAUGCAAGUCGAGCGAAGCCUUCGGGCUUAGCGGCGGACGGGUGAGUAACGCGUGGGAACGUGCCCUUUGCUACGGAAUAGCCCCGGGAAACUGGGAGUAAUACCGUAUGUGCCCUUCGGGGGAAAGAUUUAUCGGCAAAGGAUCGGCCCGCGUUGGAUUAGGUAGUUGGUGGGGUAAUGGCCUACCAAGCCGACGAUCCAUAGCUGGUUUGAGAGGAUGAUCAGCCACACUGGGACUGAGACACGGCCCAGAAUCCGACGGGAGGCAGCAGUGGGGAAUCUUAGACAAUGGGCGGAAGCCUGAUCUAGCCAUGCCGCGUGAGCGAUGAAGGCCUUAGGGUUGUAAAGAUCUUUCAGGUGGGAAGAUAAUGACUGUACCACCAGAAGAAGCCCCGGCUAACUCCGUGCCAGCCGCCGCGGUAAAAC
rnacentral:rRNA from 1 species